AUUGAACGCUGGCGGCAUGCCUUACACAUGCAAGUCGAACGGUAACAGCACUUCGGUGGCUGACGAGUGGCGAACGGGUGAGUAAUACAUCGGAACGUGCCCGAGAGUGGGGGAUAACGCAGCGAAAGCUGUGCUAAUACCGCAUACGAUCUACGGAUGAAAGCAGGGGAUUCGCAAGGACCUUGCGCUAUCAGAUGAGCCUGCGUAGGAUUAGCUUGUUGGUGAGGUAAAGGCUCACCAAGGCGACGAUCCUUAGCUGGUCUGAGAGGAUGAUCAGCCACACUGGAACUGAGACACGGUUCAGACUCCUACGGGAGGCAGCAGUGGGGAAUAUUGGACAAUGGGCGAAAGCCUGAUCCAGCCACGCCGCGUGGGUGAUGAAGGCCUCGGUUGUAAGACCUCGUCGGGAGGGACGGAAGUACAAU
rnacentral:rRNA from 1 species